AUUGAACGCUGGCGGCAUGCCUUACACAUGCAAGUCGAACGGUAACAGGUCUUCUGCUGCUGACGAGUGGCGCACGGGGGAGUAUUACAUCGGAACGUUCCCGCUCGCGGUGGGGAACGAAGCUAAAGCUUUGCUAAUACCGCAUAAGAUCUACGGAUGAAAGCGGGAUGGCGCAAGACCUUGCGCGAUCGGGGCUGCCGAUGGCAGAUUAGGUAGUUGGUGGGAUAAAAGCUUAUCACGCCGACGAUCUGUAGCUGGUCUGAGAGGACGAAGAGCCACACUGGGACUGAGACACGGCCCAGACUCCGACGGGAGGCAGCAGUGGGGAAUUUUGGACGAAGGGCGAAAGCCUGAUCCAGCCAUGCCGCGUGGAGGAUGAAGGCCUUCGGGUUGUAAACUGCUUUUGUACGGAACGAAAAGACUCUGGUUAAUACCUGCGGUCCAUGACGGUACCGAAAGAAGAAGCACCGGCUAACUACGUG
rnacentral:rRNA from 1 species